rnacentral:tRNA from 1 species
ACAUUGGUGGUUCAGUGGUAGAAUUCUUGUCUCCCAUACAGGAGACCCAGGUUCUAUUCCUGGCCAAUGCA